rnacentral:rRNA from 1 species
UACGUAUGGUGCAAGCGUUAUCCGGAUUUACUGGGUGUAAAGGGAGCGUAGGCGGCGCGUUAAGUCUGAUGUGAAAACCCGAGGCUCAACCACGGGAGUGCAUUGGAAGCUGGCGGGCUGGAGUGCCGGAGAGGUAAGCGGAAUUCCUAGUGUAGCGGUGAAAUGCGUAGAUAUUAGGAGGAACACCAGUGGCGAAGGCGGCUUACUGGACGGCAACUGACGCUGAGGCUCGAAAGCGUGGGGAGCAAACAGG